rnacentral:lncRNA from 1 species
AAUGUACUUCAACUGAGGCACCCAGAAGGUCCAACCAUGACAACCAAUGACGCUAGAAAGCAGGAACUAUUUUAUAGUUGUGUUAUCCUCGCUCCCAACUUAUUCAUAUCAAUAAUAAUAAUGAUUUAAACAAGAUUUUUUAAAAAAAUAAAAUUUUGUUUAAAUUAUCGAAUGGUAAAAAAUGUCAAAUAAUAACUAUUCAACUCCUUCUGCAAUGAGAUUAUACUUAAAUAACAAUUAAUAUCUAAACAAUUAUUAUAUAUGUCUUAGUUUGUUUUAUGCUUACGUAAUGCACAGUCUCAGUAACCGUCUUGACACAGCUGACAUUUUAUAUUGCAUUUUUAUACGCAACUAGAUCUAUUUUUAUAUAAUUAUAUAUGUUUUCCAAACAUUUAAACAUGAAUAUAUUAUAUAUAAGUAAAAUGGGGGAUUAAACAUAGAACUAUCAAGAUCAAGCCUCUCUUCUUUCUUUUUUUUCUUUUGAACUUAUGAAAAGGGAGGGGGCAUGAAGUCAAACAAUAAGGGGUGGCUUUUGGAUUUGGUUUCCGAUUGUGGAUAACAGGAUAAGGAACAAACCUCCCAAAGAUCCACUCUCACACUUCGCAAUGCGCUGCUACGCUCGUCCUCUGGCGGAGACCCCAUGACUCUCCUCUUCCCGCCGCUCUCUCACUCCACCUUUACUCCGCCCAAACCCCAUGUCUCCUCCUCUUUGCCCCCUCGCGCAAUCCCUUCCGCCUCCCCCUCCACCGUGAGUACCCAGCCAGGCGCCAUCAUCGUCGGCGCCGGCCUCGCCGGCCUCGCGGCCGCAACUCACCUCGCCGCUUCCUCCGUCCCCUUCCUCCUCCUCGAGGCCUCCGACGCCGUCGGCGGUCGCGUCCACACCGACUCCCUCGACGGCUUCCUCCUCGACCGCGGCUUCCAGAUCUUCCUCACCGCCUACCCAGAGGCCCGCCGCCUCCUCGACUACCCCUCCCUUCACCUCCGCCCCUUCUACCCCGGCGCCCUAGUCUACCACGCCCGCCGCUUCCAUCGCGUCGCCGAUCCCUUCCGCCGCCCCCUCCACGCCCUCGCCUCCCUCCCCAACCCCAUCGGUUCCCUCCCCGACAAGCUCCUCGUCGGCCUCGCCCGCCUCCGAGCCGCCUCCCUCCCCGACUCCGUCAUCCUCUCCGCCCCCGAGUCCCCUAUCUCCGACCGCCUCCGCGCCGCUGGCUUUUCCUCAGCCAUCGUGGACCGCUUCUUUCGGCCCUUCCUCGCCGGCAUCUUCUUCGACCCCAACCUCGCCACCACCUCCCGCCUAUUCGACUUCGUCUUCAAGUGCCUCGCCCUCGGCGACAACGCCCUCCCUGCCGCUGGCAUCUCCGCCAUCCCUGCCCAGCUCGCCGCCCGCCUUCCCCCGGGUUCCCUCCGCCUCCGCUCCCGCGUCGUCGCCGUCGACGCAGGCGGCGGCGCCGCCCGCCAGCCGUCCGUCACCCUCGAGGAAGGCGACGCGAUCGCCGCCGAUCUUGGGGUAAUUGUCGCCGUCGAGCAACCGGAGGCCGAGAAGCUUCUCCCCCAAGCCUUCCCCGGAGAAGAGAAGAAACCGAAGCCGGUUCGAAGCACGGUCUGCCUUUACUUCUCCGCCGACCGGGCUCCGGUCCAGGAGCCGAUACUCAUCCUGAACGGUUCGGGCGAGGGGAUCGUGAACAACAUGUUCUUCGCCACCAAUGUGACGCCGUCCUACGCGCCCGUGGGGAAGGUUCUGGCAUCCGUGUCGCUGAUCGGGGCGUUUCCGGAGCGGUCGGAUGAGGAUCUGACGGCGGAGGUGGUCCGGGAGCUGACCGGGUGGUUCGGGUCGGAGGUCGGGUCGUGGAGGCACCUGAGGACGUACCGGAUCGAGUUCGCCCAGCCGGACCAGACCCCGCCCACGAAUUUGGUUGGCAAGGAGCCGCGGGUUGGGGAAGGGGUUUACGUUUGCGGGGACCACCGAACCUCGGCGACUUUCGAUGGGGCGCUGGUGUCUGGGAGGAGGGCGGCGGAAGCCUUGAUCAGAGAUAGGGGGUUGUCCAAGAUGUAAUUUUGGCCGUCUGAUGACUGAUCAGUCUAUUUUUCAGUUUUUUAAGCAUAACACGGUAUUUGAAAUCCCUGUCUUUGUUUUUUUGGGUACAACGGCUGCUCAUCGUAUUCUAGUGUAUGACCGGCCAACAGAAUCAAAGACUAGGACCCCCCUCAGACGUGAGAGAGGGGUCCCUCGGUGUGGCCAAAGUACCUCUCCAGUAUGCUGCGCAGCGUAGAAUGCAAACCAAUCCGCGGUUUUGUUCGCCUUCCGGUAUACAUACGCUAUUUGGAAGGCGCUGCAAUUUCUCAGCAUCAGCCUGAUAUCACAAAGCAGAGGAUUGCCUUCCUCUUCCAUCCCUCCUUUCGUAUCUAAUCGAUCAUUGUGGCUGAGUCUCUCUCUAGAAUGAUGUGCUCGGCCCCCAACCUCCGUCUAGCAUAGAAAACUCCCUCCCAAGCUGCUCUGAGCUCCCCUCCGAUAGCUGAAACCCUAUCUUUGUUCAAGUAUGCCAUUCAUGAUCUCUUGACGUAUACCCGUAGCUUGAAAUGGGGAAGGGAUGUUGGGAAGGAGGUUUACGAGCUCAUAGCUUGGAAAGCAGUCUCAUGAGGCUACCAGCAUCCCAACUUUGCCUAACCGACCCUGAUGCAAAUCACACCCACCUUUACCUCCAAAAUAAACAGAUAGGUGCUGAUGCGGCCAAAAUCAAGUUUGCUUAGCACAAGUUAACUUAACAUAUAUGGCAUAGUAAAAAUCUAUUUCAGUUAUACUUAUAUUCUUAGGCGGAUUCAAAUUAAAAAAAUCAAGAAAUAGUUUUACAUUCUAUUAGAUAAGAACUUACUAUCUAUAAAAAGAAACAGUGCUAUUUUUUUUUUUUUUCUUAUAGUUACCUAAAAUUCUAGAUCUUUCGAUCAGAUCACCUUCAACAACCUCCUUUACUCUUCUUUCUUUAUGAGUCAUUGUUUCCUUAUGUGUCAUCCGUGGGAAAUGAAAAUUUAUAUCACCGCCCACGACAGUCUUCCUCUUUUGCUGGAGCUUCAGCAACGGACUCACCGUUGGCACUUCUGCGAGUUCCUGUAUGGUCGACUUCUUUUCUGCGGCCGUAUCUCUGAGCACCACCUUCUCUCCACAUGGGACGCAUGUCCUGAAAGACCGUGAUGUGUCUCUAGCUCAAGGAUUGCCCUUUCAUACUGCCUAUGAUGUGAUAGCAUGCGCACGAGACGCGUGACGAUCUUUGGACCCUUCGUCUCCACAGCCACUGCAGUGUCCACUACCAUUGUUGCCACAUUGUCCCCGGACAGCACCUCACUGACGACCCCAAGGGUCGCGCCUUCAUGAUCGCUGCAGCCGAGAAGCAAGAGCUCGUGCCGACAGUAGCCAAGUUAAUUAAAGCCCGUUUCCAUCCCGAAGGCCAAGCACGAUGGCCACCGCCGAAAGGUUAUCACUGUUGUCGUCCCCACCACACUCGACCCUUUCGUGACAGGUGUGGCAAGCACUCCAGCCGCAAUAGGAAAUCUCAGCUCUGCGACCGUGAGCGGUAGAAGAAGCUCAAGGCCUUCCAUCUAAGAACCACUGCCUCUAAGAAGAGGAGCAUUGAGUUAAGCGAGACGAAGCGCUGCUUAUAAUCCUUCGAUUGUGAGGACUCUAAUGACACCUCUGAUAUUGUCGACGCUUGCCACAAAGUGGAGGUGCCAAUCCUCUUCAACUGAGGCCUCCUUACCGACAUUGACCGCUGGGACCAGAAGAAGCACUGUGGUUCGGUUGAGCAAGAGAAAAUGAAGGAGGAAGAGGAAAAGGGGCAAAACCCCUAGCUACCUUAGGUGGUAGCUCCCUCGGCCAAGCAGGAAGCAAGAGGAGGUGAGGACUCACCGGGGUGUGGCGGAGGUAGGGGAUCUCGUGACGACAACAGCUUCCGAUGAGAAGAGGUGGAUCUCGAGACAGGGGCAGUGGGACAACCAAAAAUCUAGAGAGAGAAGAGAAUUCGGGGGCGGUGGAGCUCGAUUGUAGUGGCACGUCAGUCGCAGAGGUGAGGAAGAAGAAGGGAGGGGCUCGGUGGUGAACCAUCGCCAGAGAUGAGGGAAAUUUAAAUGAACGUUUUUAGAAAGGAUAAGCUCGAUGUACUACGAAUCUAGUGGCAGUUAGGAGCGGUCCAAACGGUCGAGCAGUUGCUCCUUGCCAGACUCCUAGAGUCCCCAUCGACCAUAAUUAUGGUGGCCUUAUCGACUCAACCGGAAGGGGAGAACAGAGGACCACGAUCACAUCCUUUGUUUCAACACCAUAAAUAUGUUGGGCCUAUCGACUUCAGUCCAAUAUGGACUUAAUUAGGCCUAGUUUUACAACUACAACCAAGAUGUGGUGAAGGUGGUGAUGCUAGCAAUAGUGACGACAAUAAUUAUGAUGAAAGUGCUAGCCCUAUGGUGAAAGUGUCGACAAUAGCAUCAACUAUGGCAACAAUUGGUUGUGGUGCUAAUAUAGUAGUGGUAAUGAUAAAAAUAUAAUUUUUUAUUUUAAACAUAAUAAAGUAUUUUUAAAAUAAUAAAAUAAGUUUAAAAAAUAGAGAAUUAAAAUAGUAGCAGCAAAUUUUUUUUUCGACUUUUAUAAUUUACUAAAAAAUAAAAAAAUAAAAGCGAUAUCAAACAUGGAGUUUCACGAUCUAUGCGUUGUCCAAGAAUCAAAGCCAUUUGGCGGCGUUCGUCGGGCACACAACAGGUACUCAUCCCACGUGGCGGUGACCCGGGACAUGAAACUUUCUAGAUCCCUAUAUAUACUACAAAUCCUCACUUGCCCCAUGAGGCGUGUAUUAUUUUUGUGCGAGUCACCGGCUCCUCGUAAGCUCGUUGGUGAAACCGUCAAUUCGUCACGUGCACCUUGGUUGCGGUGGGCAAUUCCCCUUCUACCGUCCGGCAAACCGGGCCAAGACCCUCCAAACCAACCGGUAAGAGCGUCAUGGCUCGUGCCCCACGGACCGCGGCUAUUAGGACUAGAACCGACACCCAACCCCUGCGCUUCUCCCCCGCGGUGCAGAUGGGCUCGAUAGAGGGAGCGAAGGCGGAGAACGGCGUGGCCGCACCCGCCUGCAACGGUGGCGACCAGCGGAACGGAGGAGGUGGAGGGGCCUUGCCGGACGGCGAGGCGGAGGCUGGGAGGAGGGGAAAGGUCGGGGCGGCGGCGGCGGUGCUCCCGCUGGAGGUGGGCACAAGGGUGAUGUGCCGGUGGAGGGACCAGAAGCUCCACCCCGUCAAGGUCAUCGAGCGGCGGAAGAUUCCCAACGCCGGCCCCAACGACUACGAGUACUACGUCCACUACACCGAAUGUGAGUUUAUCCAUCUUCUUUCUCUCCUUUCAAUUAGGGCUUGGGCUAGGGUUAGGGUUAGGGUGAGGGUUUGUAAUUCACGUGGAUAUUGGGUUAGAAAAAGUAACGUAUUGGAAAUUUAGGGUUUUGGAUAGCACCAUCAAGAAUUUUUUCUUUGGAAAAAGGUUGAGAAACUGUGAGUGCUGCCAUGGCGUUUGGUGGAGGACAAUUACUUCGAUUCAGGUUGUCUUACUUGAAGUCCAUGAAAACAUUAACAAUUAAUUAUCUAUGAAUUUUUAGAGGCGUGGCUUAGGAGAUCUUUCUGGUAUUUGUUGUUAAUAAUUGAGCAACACAAUAAGUGAUUUUUAAUAUAAUAUAUGGUGUCAUUAUGGCCUUAUUCUUUUUGGGUUGUAAAAUUUGAUGUCAAAGUUCGCACGGGUUUGUAUGAAAAAUUAAAGACGUUCAUAUAUAUCUUCUGAUGAUGUGAAAUAAUGCUAAAAGGAAAGUCUUGAUUUUGUAAUAUAGGACUAAACUAUGAUUGAUGGAAUCAUAUAGAUGGACUAGAAUAGGCCUAAAAGAAAAUUUGAUAUAAAGAAACUAUAUUGAAUGAGAUUAAUAAUUUAAUCCAUGCUUGUCCUCAAGUAGCACUUGAAAUCAUUAUUUCUUGAUCAGAUGGACUGAUGAUAAAGCAUUUGAUUUUAAUACCUGACUCUAGGAAUGCCUUUUUUCGGUUGGCCUCUCCCAAGUUAUUGCUUUCAAUUGGGUUCAACAAAUCAGAGCUUGACAUACGGGGUCCUGGACUUGGUGUUUUAGUUGAAAAUCAGAGGGGAAAGUAAAAAAAAAAAAGAAGAAAACUUGUGGGAUGCUAUUUGAGAGUGCCUUUAUCAACAUUACCUAGACACUUGGUUUUGUACCAAUAAAUAGAAGUUUAAACUCCCACUCUUUUAGUUGUCUACCAUAUCUUUCCACUGCUGUAUCCAUGCCUUGCUUGCAUAGUCUUCUAGUCUUUAGCAGCACUGAUGAUAUGUACUAGGAAAUUACUAUAUGAUACAAAAACAUGAGUUCCCUUUAGAAAUAAUCCUCUGUAUUCUUGAUAUUAAUUGAGCUUAUUAUUCAGGUAAACCUUCAUUUGUUGUUACACUUGCAACAGUGAGGAAAUUUAUAGUAAAGAGUAUAGCAUCUCAACCCACUAUGUAGCUCAGGUGGUGUCUGUAUAAGGGCAAUAUCUUAUACUUCGCUUAAAACCCUUCAAUGUAUAGAUUGCUUAGAAAUACAUGUCCGACAAGAGAAGCUUACAAUGAAGGUUUUUAUUGAGGGGAAGAGUGCUCGGUUGUGCAGUCUACUUCAUUGUGAGAUGCAGGAUGGUAAUUAGAGCUUAGUGAGAAGGGUUCUGAGAUUGUUAUGAGAUAAGCAACCAUGUGUUUCUGAACUAGUGAUGUUGGUUUGGGGGUGCUGCUGAGCCUAUCAGGCUGAGGAAGGUCAUUCUUCCACUCGCUCGUCUGGAGUCCUCCCUAAAAAGAGGGCUGUAUUGGGGUCUUGCUGAUAACCUCUUUGAUCCAAAGAACAGUGUUGGAUUUUAUGGGGAAAUUCAGAAUAACUAGACAUGUAUCGGGGUGUUAGGUAGUUCACUACUUUUUUAUUGGAUAUUGCUUUUAAUCACCUCAUUUGAAAUGGUUUAAUGUGGUUUUGAGAAGAGAUGGAUCAUCUUUAGGAAAUUAGGCUAUCUUCUGCUUGCUGUUCUAUUAGUGUAGAGUCUUAAAUUGAUACGAUUUGAGUUGGAAGCAUGGUAUGCUGUACCGAUCGGUACCGGAUGUACCGUAUCCAUACCGAUGGGUACCGGUAUCGGCACGCCAAUGUCGGUAUGCCUGAUGUACCACAUCCCGUACCGUACCGACACUUGGUAUGCCUGUACUAGUGCGGCACCGGUACGGGGUUCGGUACCGGUACGGCGAACCUUGGUUGGAAGUGUUCGUGGCCUUCCACAUUUUGGAUGAAAAUUUCUUAAGAUUCUGGUAUUGUCCCAUGGAGUCCUGUAUAAGAACUACUACUGUCAGCACCAGGUGCACUACAUAAUUGCAUGGCAUUUAGAUGUUUGUUGUAUGCUAGAAUUAAUUUUUAGCAUCAAUAUUUAUAUUUGCUAUGUUGCAAUGGUUAUGCAUAACAUAAUUCUGUUUUACAGUCAACAGGAGGCUUGAUGAGUGGGUUAAACUCGAACAACUUGAUCUUGAUACAGUGGAGGCUGACAUUGAUGAGAAGGUGGAAGAUAAGGUAUUGCAGUACAUGAGUUCUGCUUUUACUAAAUUUCAGGAUUGUUGCAUUAAGGGGCCAAAAUGAUGACUGUGAUAAAAUAGACAAUUCUGUCUGUUGGUGCUGUUUGAUACAAUUCGGAUCAGUUUUUUAGAAUGCUUUCUUUUUCUAGUACAUCAUGUUUUGUGUUUGUCCCUAACAUAGUGUUACUUGAAUUAUGAAUCCCUCCGCUAAAUAUUUAUUAAUGCUGUAGUUUUUCCCUGAAAAAAUAGUCUGAGACUUACCUAUGAUCCUUUGUGAUCUUUAUCAGGCAACGAGCUUGAAAAUGACCCGUCAUCAGAAACGGAAGAUUGAUGAGACACAUGUGGAGGUAUUUUAUAAGUUGAAUUGUGAUUAAAGUUACUUUAUGCAAUCAUACAAUCAUCUCUCUCUCUCUCCCUCUCUGUGUAAUUCAUAUAUAUGGCUGGUCUUCACUCUUUCCUAGUACCAGUACAUUAAUCUUGAUUAUUAGUGUCUUGUGAACUUGUAUCUCUGUAACUCGGUAUCCCUUUCUCAAUAUCGCAAUAGAGUUUUGCUAAAGUGUAACAGUUGUAGAUUCUACUAGAUGUUGACAAUGCUUGUUCUAAUCUCAUAUUGAACUUUCCAAGUCUCUCAGUUAAAAACAUCUUGCAAUUAUGGCUACAACAAAGUUGAUAUUAUGAUUAUGGAACAUCAGCUGAUCACAAUAUUGCAAAGAUUGAGCACUAUAGCAUUUGAAUAUAAAAGCCAGCAAUAUUAUUGACAUGGUGCAAUAAUCACUUGCUGCUCAUCAUUUACCUAUUUUCUUUCUCGUGUGAGAAAUUGCUAAUAUCAUGGGCAGGUGUCUAUCAGAUAGGAAAAAAUAAUUUAGUUAUGUGUUACAGAAGAGGGAAAGAUGAUGAUGUUGUUUUCAAAGGCUGAGUUAUUAAAUGAAAAACAUGAUAAUCUUCCUUUUUUUGCUUACCCAAAAAAGAGGCUAAUCUUCCUUUUUGUUGUUAAAUCUUAUAUUGAAUGUGUCUGCAUAUAUGAAACACAUGAAUUGCUUGGAUAUAUGAAACACAUGGAGAUAAUCACGUACCCUUCUACUUCUGCAUUUUGUGAUCAUGUUAUUGCAAUUGAACUCACUACUAACACCUCUUCCAUCUUCCAAUUUUUCCUUUCUUCAGAAGGGUCAUGAGGAGCUUGAUGCUGCUAGUUUGCGGGAACAUGAGGAGUUCACGAAAGUGAAAAACAUAGCAAAAAUAGAACUUGGUAGAUAUGAGAUUGAUACAUGGUAUUUCUCCCCUUUUCCGCCAGAAUACAAUGACUCUUCAAAGCUGUACUUUUGUGAAUUUUGCCUCAAUUUUAUGAAGCGCAAAGAACAGCUUCAGAGGCAUAUGGUGAGCUGCAUCUGAAUUCUUCUAGCCGGACUCUGUUAACAAAUUGAGUGGUCAUGGAAUGUGUCCUAGUAUCUGAAGUUCAUUGUUAUCUGCUCAGUCAUAUAUUUCCCCCCUUCUUGAAACUAUUUCUGCUGUUAAUCUCAUUGCAUAUAAACUGAUCUUGGUCAAUAUAUGUUCUACCAGUUGUAUACUUGCAUAUGGCAUGUACCUCUCUUAGGACCAGUAUGAUCAUAGUAUAAAAGUUCUUCACUUUGCAUCUGCAAAAAGUUUUUUAUUUUAAUUUAAGUACUAUAUUUUAGGUGAUAUACUCCUUUUCUUCCCCUCCUCUUUCCCUCUCCCUAGCAGGUUAAACUAUGGUAGUAUUUUACAUGCCUGUGAAUAUACGUAGAGUCCGCAGAGUUUAAUAUACAUGUAAAAGGAUUGAGAAUGAUUGAUGGAGAUUUUCAUAAUUAUAAUAUUAACUUUGAGAAUCAUAAAUUUAAUGUGUGAAAUAGGAGUUUGCUCCACUAUUUAUUGUCCAAACAUCUUAAUCAGCAUUUAUGUGUUUUAUGAUAAGCUACAAAAUGAAUUCAAGCAUGUGUUCUACAAUGCUAAAGGUGAUGAUCAAAUAUCUGCCUCUCUAAUUAAUAGUGGUUACAACACUCACCUAAUUGUUGAAAUGAGCCAGAAUACUUGGUAUUGCACUUAAAUUUAGUCCUUGACAUAUUGGUUGCUUAUAUUCUUGUUGGUAAUUGCAUGUUGCAUAAUUGACUUUGUAAAAUUAGGCUGUUAAUGGGGUCAAAGGGCCAACUAUUAGAGAUACUGGAGAGUGUGUUUCCAUUGGAUUUUCGUGCAAAUCCAGUUCUCAUUUACCAAUAUCAGAUAAGGAUGAAGGUAGAAUUUUUAAUUUAUUGGGUUCUUUAUGGCAAGUUAUGCUUGCUUUGCCAUUUCGUGUUUUGUCAUUUGAUAAAGCUUAUGUUUUAUAUAACCUGGUUUGGGAGAAAAUGGUGAAAUCUUAAACCAAGUUCAAACUGAAGACCAAAGGAGUACAUGGAGUACAAAGACAUAACAUUAUGAAUGGAAUGCUUCUUGACUUUGCUAUGGUAGUAUGAUAUAUGAUGUCGUAGCAAAGACAUACAUUAAUAAAUUUGAUAAAUAAUGACAUUACAGAAUGCAAAACUUACUGUAAAUUAUUUACUUUGUGGAAGAGCAAAAGGCAUGUAUGGAUUGCAAGGUAAUCUUAGAACAAAUUUGACCAUGAAGCUAAAAGCAUUGAGGGAAUGAUUAGACAUCUUAUUAUGAAUGGUAAUUCAACGAUUACUAAAGAAGGGGGAGUGAGAUCAGGAGCAAUAAUACUCAACAAAUUACUAAAGAAGGGGGAGUGACGUCAGGAGCAACAAUAGAUGUGAUUAGAAGUGCAAAUGGGCCAAGUGGCCCAAGCAGAACCAAGUGUUAGGCUGCUCAGUCUCGGCUGUUUAUAUGAAAGGGCCAAUCAAGCUUGACCUGAGCUAGAGCAGUGCUUAGUAGGCCUUCAUGCUUGGCUUGUUGGGGGUCUGAGGUGAGCUUGAAGGAGCUUCUUUCUUUCUAAGCCAGGCUCCUCCUUUCUUUUUUUGGUGCAAGCCUUGAGUUUUCAGGCUUGGCUUGUUUUGAGCUUGGCUUGUUUCGUAGCUGAGCUGAGCCCACAUGAGCAUCUAACAAAGACUAUUCGGAGCUGUUCAUGAACAGCUUGCUUCAUUUGCAUCCCUAGGGAUGAUGUAGUUAUGAAUGGCUGAAAUAGGAUGGUCGCGUAGUUCAAGUUUUUACAAGUAGAAGAUGUAAGCACUUGGAAUCAUGCAUGGAACUAAGGAGGAAUACGAAAAAAUGAUUAUGUAUGGCAAAAUAUUAGAUUUGAUGCUAUAGGAUCUAGUAAAGCAUAAUGCGCUUAAAAAAAUUCUCAGCUAGCUAAGCCUUAGGGCUAGCAUAGAAAAAAUCUUGGACUUUGCAAGAUGAGGAAAAGGAAAUACAGGAGAUUAAAUUAGAUGGGAUUAUUGGAGUAUUUGUAACAGAUGAUUAGAUAAUGCAUAUAUGUAGAGUAAGCACAGAGUUAGGGGAAAUCAUAGAGUUGUUCUACUCAUUGUUCAAAAUAAGCUUAUUGAAGGCUUGCCUUGCCGGGCUUUAAUGGAUGCAUUUGAAGCAUAACAUGGGAGGCAUUAUAACAGAAAGCCAUAUCACAUGAGUAGACACAUGUAGGUGCAUAUGUUGUACCUUAUAUCAAAUAUGAAAGUCAUAGAUGUGCUCUUAUGUUACUUCAAAAAUAAGUGAUGGAGUUUAUUUAGAAAAUAUACAUGAGCCAUUUCAUGUAAAUGCUACUGUACACGGCACAUUUAAGAUUUCUGCACAUUUGGCAUGUGGAAGUGUGACCCUUGCCAAACAAUAAUUGAGUCUAAGUAUAUACAGGGACGGCCCAAUACAUUUGGAGGCCUAAGGCGGAUUCAGUGAAUGAGGCCUUUUUUUUUAAAUAAUAAUUUUUUUUAAUAAGUAUAAAAUACUUAAAAAAAAGAUAUGAAAAUAGAUAGCUUUCAAGUACAUUAUUUCAACAAAGAUACAUGAAUGCAACAAAGACAGACAAAAAGCCUCUUCAGUUUAAUAUAUUUUUUGAAUGGAAGCAUGGAAAAGUAAUUACGCUUAAGAAAGGGCCUACGAAACUCAUUAAAUAACUGAGAUAAUGCUUGGCAGUACUGUUUACCAUGUCAAGCAAGAGCAGAAUAGGAAAAGGUUAUCCCAUGGCACUUCAUGGUCAAGGUAAAGGAAAGAAUUUGUCCAGAAAGGGACCUCUCUAUAAGAGAAAGUAGGGGC